AGAAUUUUAGUAUGACGGUAAUACGUCUAACUUUUAAUCGCUCAGAAACGAGUUCAAAUCUCGUAAAUCCCA